rnacentral:rRNA from 1 species
UACGAAGGGGGCUAGCGUUGCUCGGAAUCACUGGGCGUAAAGGGCGCGUAGGCGGCCGAUCAAGUCGGGGGUGAAAGCCUGUGGCUCAACCACAGAAUGGCCUUCGAUACUGUUUGGCUUGAGACCGGAAGAGGUCAGUGGAACUGCGAGUGUAGAGGUGAAAUUCGUAGAUAUUCGCAAGAACACCAGUGGCGAAGGCGGCUGACUGGUCCGGUUCUGACGCUGAGGCGCGAAAGCGUGGGGAGCAAACAGG